rnacentral:rRNA from 1 species
GGAGUAUGUGGUUUAAUUCGAUGCAACGCGAAGAACCUUACCUGGUCUUGACAUCCGGGGACCCUUAGGAAACUAGGGGUGCUUCCAUCUGGAAGAAUCUGGAGACAGGUGCUGCAUGGCUGUCGUCGGCUCGUGUCGUGAGAUGUUGGGUUAAGUCCCGCAACGAGCGCAACCCUUGCCUUUAGUUGCCAGCAGUUCGGCUGGGCACUCUAAAGGGACUGCCGGUGUUAAACCGGAGGAAGGUGGGGAUGACGUCAAGUCCUCAUGGCCUUUAUGACCAGGGCUACACACGUACUACAAUGGCCGAUACAAAGGGCAGCGACACUGCGAGGUGAAGCCAAUCCCGUAAAAUCGGUCUCAGUCCGGAUUGGAGUCUGCAACUCGACUCCAUGAAGUUGGAAUCGCUAGUAAUCGUGGAUCAGCAUGCCACGGUGAAUACGUUCCCGGGCCUU